ACGGGCGCUUGGCACUCUUGCGAUGUCCUACAGAGAAGUCGCGGGGUGGUGCCAGAGGGUCUGU
rfam:Ornithorhynchus anatinus Cont3262.6, whole genome shotgun sequence.